ensembl:rRNA 5S_rRNA 5S ribosomal RNA
UGCCACAGCCAUGUCACCCUGCAGCCCCAGAGCGGUUACUCACUGAAGCUAAGCAGGGCUGAGCCUGGUCAGUACCUUGAUGGGAGACCACUAGGGAACACUAGGUUGCUGUUGGAA